rnacentral:rRNA from 1 species
UACGUAGGGUGCAAGCGUUAAUCGGAAUUACUGGGCGUAAAGCGUGCGCAGGCGGUUUUGUAAGUCUGUCGUGAAAUCCCCGGGCUCAACCUGGGAAUGGCGAUGGAGACUGCAAGGCUAGAGUUUGGCAGAGGGGGGUAGAAUUCCACGUGUAGCAGUGAAAUGCGUAGAUAUGUGGAGGAACACCGAUGGCGAAGGCAGUCCCCUGGGUCAAAACUGACGCUCAUGCACGAAAGCGUGGGGAGCAAACAGG